AUGUAUCAAUGUCUUUCUAUCAUUUUCUUUUUUGAUUUAUCUGUUAAUGUCUUUCUAUCAUUUUCAGUUGUGAAGGAAAAGGUGAAAGCCUUUUAUAUAAUGUUGUUACCUGUUUCUCUCUUUGUUAAUGUUUCUUUAUAUCUCCUCUCUAAGACUCGUGAAACUCUGUUGAAGUUUAAUUUGACAACGGUUGGAAAACAUGACAAGUUUUAUAGGACUGCUUUUGGGAGAAAGAUCAACUAUCUUGUUCACAGAUUAUGUGUUGGAACAUGUCCAUGUUCC